AUUGAACGCUGGCGGCAUGCCUUACACAUGCAAGUCGAACGGCAGCACGGGUGCUUGCCCCUGGUGGCGAGUGGCGAACGGGUGAGUAAUACAUCGGAACAUGUCCUGUAGUGGGGGAUAGCCCGGCGAAAGCCGGAUUAAUACCGCAUACGAUCUACGGAUGAAAGCGGGGGACCUUCGGGCCUCGCGCUAUAGGGUUGGCCGAUGGCUGAUUAGCUAGUUGGUGGGGUAAAGGCCUACCAAGGCGACGAUCAGUAGCUGGUCUGAGAGGACGACCAGCCACACUGGGACUGAGACACGGCCCAGACUCCUACGGGAGGCAGCAGUGGGGAAUUUUGGACAAUGGGCGAAAGCCUGAUCCGGCAAUGCCGCGUGUGUGAAGAAGGCCUUCGGGUUGUAAAGCACUUUUGUCCGGAAAGAAAUCCUUGGCCCUAAUACGGUCGGGGGAUGACGGUACCGGAAGAAUAAGCACCGGCUAACUACGUG
rnacentral:rRNA from 1 species